ACCCGUUUGACAUUUAAGGCUUCAAGGGCACCUGGCUUUACAGUUUUCAGACAACACCUUCCCUUUUUGUCUCCUCAAUUUCAUUUACAACGUCAUUUGGUUUCAAAGUAGAAUCGACUUCUUCUGUGAUCAAAUUUCUGCUCAAGGAGAAGAUGGAAAAUAUGCAGUAUGCUGAGGAGCUAGUGAGAGAAUUUCUUGUAUUCAGAGGUUUCACUAGUACUCUACAAGCUUUUGAGACGGAACUAAAUACGGAAGUCGGGAAAGGUUUCCAAGUGGAAAAGAUACUUGACUUGAUUUUCUUGAAGUAUAUACCCAGGUUUGAGGCUGAGAAAUUGGUUGGCCUCCUUACUUUCUUUAAGCACUGUAUUUCUUCCUCCGAGACAGUGUUUUAUGCUACAUUGUCCAAACUGGAAGCUUCUGUUCUCCGCUAUUAUAUAGUAUAUGCUGUGCGUUCAGGCAGGAAUGACAAAGUCAAAGAGUUUUUCGAUAUGUUGGGUGAUAACCUGCAGCAGAAAGGCCAUGAUUGGACUCCAUGGUUUGCUAUGCCCUAUCUUAAGAAUCCUGGUUUGGAUCCUCAGUUUUGCAUUUAUUUCUCAAAGGAAUGGUUGGACGCCUUGCAGCUUUCACUAAGGAACUUUCUGAGCCAGAUGUUUAGUGGUACUCGCAUUCCUGCUCUAUUAAAGAUAAGUAUGGAGAAGAACACUACCAACCAGUUCAGGAAAGAUAUUAAGCAGCUUAACGUGAAGUUAUCACAGCUUCAAGCUGUCUUGGAAGAAAGGGAGGCUCAGUUACAUCAGCUUAGAAGCGGUGCUAUUUUAAUGAGACAAGAAGAUGACUCAACAAAGAGUGCUUCUGUGGUUUCUAGAGAGACAAGUCUAUCAAUGGAUUCUGGAAAAAAUAUUGCCACUAAAUUUAGAAGUGAGCCUGAAACUGGAUUCAAGAGCAAUGAAAUGGAUGGAUGUUCAGAUUUGUCCACUACAACUGCCUACAAUGCCAAUCAUGCCCAGAGUUCUUCUGGAAAUCCACCAUUUAGCAACGAUCAGAAAGGAAUCUAUGUUUCCAAAUAUAGUUUUCUUAGUGAUGAAAAGGUGGCUGCAGUCCUAGGCGAGGAAGAAUUUUCAGAAGUGAAAGUGCAGUUCCAGGAAACUUUUCUGGGACACACAAGUCCCAUCAGUAGGUCCCGCUUUUCAGCAUCCGGGGAUAAUAUUGCAAGUGCUUCCGUAGAUGGUACAGUAAGGAUUUGGACGUAUGACUCAUCCACACCUGGAUCUAGAAACGCUACCAUAUAUUGUGGAGCGGAAAUUUUGUCUCUUGACUGGGAUUGUAAAUCUGAUCGAUUGCUUCUCAUAGGCACUGCUGAGGGAGGCAUCAAGGCAUGGAAUGUGGAUGCCAAAAGAGUCGUAUGUGAUCUCACCACAGGUCAAACAUUUCGAAGGGUAUUAGAUAUAAAAUGCAGCCCUGUGGAACCCAUUUUUGUCUCUGCAGCAGCAUCUGAAGGGGAUGAAACAGCUUAUGCUAAUGCGAUGGGGCAUGCUUCACUAACUGUUUGGAACAUGAAGACGUGGAAACCUAUGACAGUCCUUCCUCUUGGCGAAGAACCCCCGGCAAUAACCUCUGUGUGCUUCAAUCACAACGGAAAGAUUUUAGCAGCUGCUGCUGUUGAUGGGAUGAUUCACAUGUUUGAUAUGUCUGCGGGUUUGCAAAUUACUGGAUGGCCCGCUCAUGAUUGUCCAAUUAGCUCUAUUCUUUUUGGACAUGAUGAGACAAGUAUUUUUACUUUGGGAUCAGAUGGAAAAGUAUUUGAAUGGAGCUUGCAGAAGCAAGGUCAAGUAGUCUGGUCAGCAGAUUGCAGCAGGUUCUGCAGUCCUGAUAACUCGAAAAACUGCAGUCGUGAGAUGGCUCUGGAUUGUACUGGAAAGAGACUGCUGGUGACCUCUGAUUUAGUACGAUCACCCAUGUAUCAGGUUGGAAGUCUUGCAAACGGAUCAAAAACACUACCACAUAGUGCAGCUGUGACAACUGUUGAUUGGCAUCCAACCCUGCCUAUCUACCUUACUGGAUCUGCUGAUAAUUCAGUUCGUGUUACAUCUGUUUUGUAAGACAUCAUUCACAUGCGGUUGUACAUUGCUGGUUAAUAUCUGUCUUCUAGCCACAGUUUUAAAAGGUUCGAAAUUUUGCUUGGCUUUUUCUUCUUGCAUUUAGAUGCAUGUUUCAUUAUCAUUACCCCAUUGCCUCAAAGAGGCUCCCGCAAGAAGCGGGGUAAGGGGGGUCGGACGUACGCAACCUUACCCCUGCAAUUGCAGAGAGGUUGUUUCCAAUUGACCCAAAAGCAAUAACUGGACGACCACGGGACGACCAUCUUCUACUUCAUGGAAAGGAAGCGAAGAGGUUUUAAGAGCUAUUUUGAUUUAGUCCAUUAUAUUCAAUGCUGAAAAGAACAAAUGUAUCUUUGGCUCCAUCGGAAAUGGACAGAUUUAGAUGCAUGUUUCUUGAUACAUUUUUUGUACUUAGCACAAAUAGAUUUCUAGAAACUUUUAGUGUAAUAUUCUUGGAUCUUGAGAUCAUCUGUUUUAAUCUUUUCUAUAUUAGAUGGUGGCAUUGACUUUAUUGGCCAAGUCCUAAGUUUGACAUUGCUUGACUUUGAACCUAUCCCGUUGGAAACGAGUACUACAAUAAUACACAUCUGUUGUCAAAUGAUUAUGCCUUUCAGCUUGAUCACUGUCUUGCAAAUUUCGUAAUCUUAGACACUCAAAAUGUUUUGAAUGUCAAAACUCAACUAUUAAUUUCUCGCAAAAUACAUUGCAUUAUUUACAGUGUGAGAAAAUUGUGUGCUUAUAUUUAAAAAGUGGUAGUUAAGAAGGAUGAUACUAUAAAGAUGGGUGAUUUGUUAUAAAAAAAUUGAUAAUAAUAUAUAAAGAGUGGAGUAGCAGAGAUGCAUAUGUUGAGAGAGAUAUGUGGGAACACUUUAAGGAUACAAUUAUGAACGGCGAUAGAAGAAGUCGAGGAGGGCCAAAUAUGACUUGGAUGGAGGGAGUUAAAUAAAUAAGAUUUACAGAAGCAAUAACACUUGAUAGAAGUAAAUAGAGGGAGAGGAUCAUGGUAGCGACACCAGAGAUAGAAUCUAGGUUCUGUUGCCAACCCAAUCCUAUUGGAUUAACACUUUGACAUUGUAUUUAAAAAGUACCCGACUUUCUAUAUUCGCAUUAUUUUUACACGAUUGUUAUUAAUAUAUUUUGGGAGAAAUUAUGUCCAUGAGAAUUUAAUGCCAUGUUGAUAAUCCUUUUUUUUUUCUUUCAUUUUUUACAACCAAAUAUUGAAUGUCCACACUUUGAUGCUUUUAGGAGUAUAGCCAUUUCUAAUUCGUGUCAAUAAAAUAUUAACAUGAAGCUUUGAAUAAAAUAUCAAUAUUGGGGUUGGGGAAAAACUAUGAAACUGCAUUAGUGCAGUGGGCACUUCCAGUGUGUAAAAUAAUGGGUAUACAAUCACUCCACAGUUGACCAAGACUUGAUCUAGUCUAAAGGCUUGAAGAAUCUGACUUCAAAUCAUGGUGGGAAUGAAUUUAUUGGCUUCUUUUUCUUUCUUUUUUAAAGGUGUGUAGCGAAGUCUUACAAGUCAUUAAUGUGCAUUAUCAUGUGAAAUCGUAGGAUGAUCCCACAGUUUAUGACUUUUAGACAACCUUAGGAACAUGAAUUGAACUUGCACAAGUACUCGUAUUAUCUUUAUUAUGUAGAAACUUCUCAUCUAUUGUUGGACUUGUUUGUUGACUCUAGAGUCUAGAAUCCAUGAGUAUCAUUAUUGUGAUUUUAGUCCAUGUUUCCUCAGUAUAUAUUCAGCAAAUAUAUUAUUCUAGGAAUCAACAAGUUUCAAACCUGAUAUUAUUUUCCUUCAAAAAAUGUCAGGGUCACGUUUUAUAUGGAAUAUUCUCUUGCUUUUUGUACUUUGGAUAUGUGUCACAAAAACCCCCUCCUUUAGCUUAGAAAUUAAGACCAAUAGGUGCAUAGAGAAGGAAGGAGAGGCCCUUCGCAGCAUUUACCCUACAUGUGCAAAUUACUUGAGUCAAAAUUACCAUGACUGCUGCAAUUGGCCUGGUGUCUAUUGCAGCAACCUCACUGGCCGCGUUAACCGACUUUUGUUGAAUUCCUUCAACCCUUUCAAGUUUGAACUUCUUGGGCACUUUGAGCUUGGCGAAUAACAACUUAACCGGGAGAAUUCCGACAGGAACUCAAAUUCAAAGCUUCGAUGCUUCAGUUUUUGUGGGAAACCCUAGACUUUGUGGGGACCCACUUCCAAAGAAGUGCAAUGGAGAUGAAGGUAAAGCAGAUCGCAACAAUGAUCAUGAUAAUCACACCCCUGAAAACAACAAUGAAGAUGCAUCUAUAUCUUUGGGUUUGUACAUCAGCAUUGCACUUGGAUUUAUCUCUGGUUUUUGGGUAGUUUGUGGUGUGUUAAUAUUCAAGAAAUCUUGGAGAUAUGCCUAUUUUCGCUUCUGGAUUGAUUUGUAUGACAGACUGUGUGUGUUCAUUACUUUGAAGCUUGCUUAUAUUCGAACAUGAAAUCCAAGCGAUUUCAUGGUUCAACAAUUGUUCAUUGUGCUGAACACAAAAGUAUUGAGUAGUUUGUUUGAAUGAGGUUGUGACAUGCCCAACUCAGAAGUUAAUAUACCAUUAAUCCUUUUCUGUGUCCUAA